rnacentral:rRNA from 1 species
ACGGGUGGUAAUGCCGGAUGCUCCAGUUGGAUGCAUGUCCUUCUGGGAAAGAUUCAUCGGUAUGGGAUGGGGUCGCGUCCUAUCAGCUUGAUGGCGGGGUAACGGCCCACCAUGGCUUCGACGGGUAGCCGGCCUGAGAGGGCGACCGGCCACAUUGGGACUGAGAUACGGCCCAGACUCCUACGGGAGGCAGCAGUGGGGAAUAUUGCACAAUGGGCGCAAGCCUGAUGCAGCGACGCCGCGUGCGGGAUGACGGCCUUCGGGUUGUAAACCGCUUUUGACUGGGAGCAAGCCCUUCGGGGUGAGUGUACCUUUCGAAUAAGCACCGGCUAACUACGUGCCAGCAGCCGCGGUAAUACGUAGGGUGCAAGCGUUAUCCGGAAUUAUUGGGCGUAAAGGGCUCGUAGGCGGUUCGUCGCGUCCGGUGUGAAAGUCCAUCGCUUAACGGUGGAUCCGCGCCGGGUACGGGCGGGCUUGAGUGCGGUAGGGGAGACUGGAAUUCCCGGUGUAACGGUGGAAUGUGUAGAUAUCGGGA